rnacentral:rRNA from 1 species
GACGAACGCUGGCGGCGUGCUUAACACAUGCAAGUCGAACGCUGAAGACCUGGCUUUUGUUGGGUUGGAUGAGUGGCGAACGGGUGAGUAACACGUGAGUAACCUGCCCUCUUCUUUGGGAUAACGCCCGGAAACGGGUGCUAAUACUGGAUAUUCACUGAUCUUCGCAUGGGGGUUGGUGGAAAGGUUUGUUCUGGUGGGGGAUGGGCUCGCGGCCUAUCAGCUUGUUGGUGGGGUGAUGGCCUACCAAGGCUUUGACGGGUAGCCGGCCUGGGAGGGUGACCGGUCACAUUGGGACUGGGAUACGGCCCAGACUCCUACGGGAGGCAGCAGUGGGGAAGAUUGCACAAUGGGCGAAAGCCUGAUGCAGCGACGCCGCGUGAGGGAUGGAGGCCUUCGGGUUGUAAACCUCUUUCGCUCAUGGUCAAGCCGCAACUGUGGGUUGUGGUGAGGGUAGUGGGUAAAGAAGCGCCGGCUAACUACGUG